AUUGAACGCUGGCGGCAUGCUUUACACAUGCAAGUCGAACGGUAACAGGGUGCUUGCACCGCUGACGAGUGGCGAACGGGUGAGUAAUGCGUCGGAACGUGCCGAGUAGUGGGGGAUAACGCAGCGAAAGUUGUGCUAAUACCGCAUACGUACUGAGGUAGAAAGUGGGGGACCUUCGGGCCUCACGCUAUUCGAGCGGCCGACGUCUGAUUAGCUAGUAGGGGAGGUAAAGGCUCACCUAGGCGACGAUCAGUAGCGGGUCUGAGAGGAUGAUCCGCCACACUGGGACUGAGACACGGCCCAGACUCCUACGGGAGGCAGCAGUGGGGAACUUUGGACAAUGGGCGAAAGCCUGAUCCAGCCAUGCCGCGUGUCUGAAGAAGGCCUUCGGGUUGUAAAGGACUUUUGUCAGGGAGGAAAUCCCUAGUGCUAAUAACACUGGGGGAUGACAGUACCUGAAGAAUAAGCACCGGCUAACUACGUGCCAGCCGCCGCAGUAA
rnacentral:rRNA from 1 species